rnacentral:rRNA from 1 species
UGGGGAAUUUUGGACAAUGGGGGAAACCCUGAUCCAGCCAUCCCGCGUGUGCGAUGAAGGCCUUCGGGUUGUAAAGCACUUUUGGCAGGAAAGAAACGUCAUGGGUUAAUACCCCGUGAAACUGACGGUACCUGCAGAAUAAGCACCGGCUAACUACGUGCCAGCAGCCGCGGUAAUACGUAGGGUGCAAGCGUCAAUCGGAAUUACUGGGCGUAAAGCGUGCGCAGGCGGUUCGGAAAGAAAGAUGUGAAAUCCCAGAGCUCAACUUUGGAACUGCAUUUUUAACUACCGGGCUAGAGUGUGUCAGAGGGAGGUGGAAUUCCGCGUGUAGCAGUGAAAUGCGUAGAUAUGCGGAGGAACACCGAUGGCGAAGGCAGCCUCCUGGGAUAACACUGACGCUCAUGCACGAAAGCGUGGGGAGCAAACAGG